UGUUUUAAUGCGAUUGGAAAUCUUUUGAAACCAACAUAAAUACUUUCUACAGGCAUCUGCUAUUGUAUUAGGGAAAAUAUAGAUCAAUAGCUUAGACAUGGCUUCCCAGCAUAAUUUCAAUUGACACAAAGGUAGUCAUUGCAGAGGUUUCGGCGAGACUUCGAAAUUUCAAAGAAAAAAAAUUUUUUUUUUUUUAACAAAAAAGUUUUUUGAAGGUGCAAACCAUAUAUUAGCCAAAAAAAUUUCUGGUUUUCUGUUUAACUGUUCUGACGAGAGAAAAUUGUUGAUUUCCUUCCUAUGUGUUGUAUGUCAUGAUACUUGACGUGUGACCUUUUGAAGCCAUUGAAGCUAUGAAGCUAUGAUAUCACUUAUGGUAAGUGAUACGUGUGGUACGUUAAGCUUGUGCGGAUAUAUGAAGCAUUCAGAAGGGCUCCAAGUAUUAUUAUUAAUUUAGCUUAAGACUAUCGUCUCCAAGCACUAACGUCCGAGGCUAACGAGUUUAUCAAGGACUCUACCACACAUGAGGUCCUACUUUGCCACUUAGACGUAGGGAGUCCUAUUUUUUAUUAUCAAUCUAAGCCUGUCUGUCUGUCCAUCAGUUUGUCUUGUUUGUUUCGUUUGCUUGUCUUGAACCUACAGGUCAUAAUAACAUUUGGCAUACCAAGGAACGUUAUUGAAAAUCGUUGACUUCGGUCUACUUUUUCGUCUCCUUUCAAUGUAAUUUAUUGUUAUUUUGAAAAGUCAUUAUAUGAAUAACAACAUUAACCGAAGAAAUGGUUCGAUCUUACGUUGACAAGUUUGUUACAUGAUUAACUGUAGAGUGACGUGUAGUGUAUUUAAUGACCGGCCGGUGUCGCAUUAUAAUUUUCUUACUUGUUUCCAACUGGCAAUGAAAGAAUGUUUCCGCUUAUUGCUUCCUUGGUCGUUAAAUAUCUGACUUAAUACAACCGACUCAGAAUAUAGGAAAAAAAAAAA